rnacentral:rRNA from 1 species
GUAGGUGGCAAGCGUUGUCCGGAAUUAUUGGGCGUAAAGCGCGCGCAGGCGGUCCUUUAAGUCUGAUGUGAAAGCCCACGGCUCAACCGUGGAGGGUCAUUGGAAACUGGGGGACUUGAGUACAGAAGAGGAAAGCGGAAUUCCAAGUGUAGCGGUGAAAUGCGUAGAGAUUUGGAGGAACGCCAGUGGCGAAGGCGGCUUUCUGGUCUGUAACUGACGCUGAGGCGCGAAAGCGUGGGGAGCAAACAGGGAUUAGAUACCCUGGUAGUCCACGCCGUAAACGAUGAGUGCUAAGUGUUAGGGGGUUUCCCGCCCCCUUAGUGCUGCAGCUAACGCAUUAAGCACUCCGCCUGGGGAGUACGGCCGCAAGGCUG